rnacentral:lncRNA from 1 species
AGAUCGGAGAGGCUUUAUGCCAAAUUCUCCAAGUGUGAUUUCUGGUUGCGAGAGGUCCAGUUCCUAGGGCACUGAUAUGUGUGUUUUUAUAUAUAUUUAUGUGAAACAUAUCUUAAUAUUUUAGCCUUUAUUAUUAUUAUUUAGAACUAAAAUAUAUUUAAUAUGCUUUGAAAUAUUUAAUUACAGUAAAAAUGGGAGUUGGAAUGCAAAAGGAAGAGAAUGGAGCUGAAAAGAUGCAAAAAGGAUAUUGCUGGCAGAUUGACCCCUCUUCAGUGUUUCAGGUAUAUCGGAUGACUCACAAAUCCAAUUGACGAGAUUCAAAAUGUUCUGAAAACUAGACGAAAUUUCCUACGACUUAUGUGAGAUGGACUUUUGGCCAAUUCGACACUUAUCUUAUCCAAAAUCGGCCUUGAAGAUGAAGCAUAAAAACUGGACGGAAAUUCCCUCCAAGUUACUUAUUCCCCAAGCACCACUUUCCUUAUCUUUAUUUGCUUAACCCCUAAGCCACAUUAGUUUCCUUAUUCCAAUCCAACUCUAAUAUUCCAUAUAAUUCCAUCUCCAUCAACUAUAAAUACCCCAUAUCAUUCCACAAUGUUCAUAAUCUAGGAUAUUCCACUUCGACUUGUGCAACAAGAAAACUUCAUAGUUGCCGUUUUGAGGGUCUAGGAUGCGGCCGGAAGGCCGUUAAGCUGAUAUGGAGAAAAGAUCUAAGGGAUUAGAGAGCGGAUACAUGUCGAUAAUCAUGUGGUUUGUUAACGUGACCAUGCUUAGCAUUCCACGGUGAUACUAUUAUGUGUUUAGUUUCUAAUUUAGGUGUAAAAAACCUUUUACUUUGUGUUUAUGAUUAGAUGAAACCUUGAUUUAUGGAUUAAUUGAUAUUUGGAUUGUUUUAUUCGUGUUUAAUUUAUCUUGACAAGCUUGUUAAAAGAUCCUUACGUGUUAAUGAUAAUUAUUUUGCUGUUAAUUGUCAAGUAAAUUGAUUUGUAUGAACAUCUGCUUGAUUGCUUGUAUCUUAUGACUUUGAUGACCAUCAAGAUUAUAAGUCUAGGAACAAUGAAUGUGAAACUAGGAUUAACUCGGAAAUAAGUAAGUUAAUGUGUGAGCCAUGUGUGAUAAACCAUCAACAAGAGGUUAAAUUGAAUUAGUAAUUUGAUUAACUAUUAUUACAAGUCUUGCUUGAUACGAACUGAACACUUGGAAGGAUGUUAGUUUAAUCAACUGUUCACUGUUUGAAUUGACUUGUUUGCUAAAGGAUUAGUAUUAGUGAACGCGAAUCUAAUCAUUUUAGGAAUCGGUGAACAUGAAUAAAUUAAUUUUUGUAUGCAAUUGUCUAUGCUUUUAAGGUAUAAUUUAUCUAAAUCAAAGUACCUGAAGAGAUUUGUUUCACUGUUAGUUUAUCAAGAUUUGUUAAUUAAUUGUUCAUCUGAGAUUUAAUAAACCAUUUCUUUACUGCUUGUGUGUGUUUUGUAACCUAUAAUCAAAUAUUUUAAAUUAAUUCACUACCGUUCCCCUUGUGUUCGACACCCUUGCUUAUCAAAGCUAUACUAUACUCGAUUGGGUUCACUGCCUGUAAGGUGUGGUUUAGAUGCGAUAAAUUAGGAAUUAUAAAUAAAAAAAUAGUGCAUUAAAUAUUCACAUCAAGUUUUUGGCGCCGGUGCCGGGGAAUGGUUUUCAGUUAAUUUAGUUUAUUUGAUUAUUCGUUAUUUGUUUUUAUUUUUUUUAGUUUUAUUUUUAUUUUAUUUUCGUUGAUAUUAUGUCACUUGUCGGAAAGGUUUUUGUUGUCAUGUGCAGGAAUUCGUGAUCAUACACAUUGCUUGGUUUGAUUUUUUGCAUGGGUUUCGAGAUUGCAAGCGAUUAGGGAAUUCUUGACUUGUUUAGUCUACUACUUUGUUGAUUUGUCCAACUCAAUCUAUGAGGCGUAGUAUAGCAAGGCGUGUCGUGGUGGUUAAGUGGAAGACCGAGCUCUUGCUGUUCUUGACUAGUUUGGUCACUUCUUGUUCUACUUUUAGUUAAUGUUGCAAAGAAAACAAAGGAAAUAGUCUGACAGGUCCCGAAAGAUUUUGUUUUCACAAACCACCUCUUGCAUGCAAGGGAUUUAAUCAACAAUUGUAGCUUGAUUUCGACGAAGACGAGUGAUUGUGAUAUCCUUUUUAGUUAUUUUGUUUUUUUAGUUAUUUUAGUGAGUUUUUAUUUUUAUUUUUAGUUUGUUUAAAUUUUGUUUUCCAUGUUGAUGCUCUUGAUGUUUCAGAUCUUUGCAAAACUUUUACCCUUCAGAUGCUUUCAGAAAUUUCAAUAAUUAAGGUCGAAUGUUGAUUUGUCACGAGAGAAAAAACCGUGUGAGAGUUUGAAGUUGACACUUGAGAGCCAUGACUUUCAAUAAGUGUGGGGUGCGUGUCGAUAUUUGGAGGGAUUAUUAUUUCGAAGAGUGUCGUUUUUAACUAUACAUUGAUUCCCAUGGCAUAGAUGAGUUGUUCCCACACCAUGGAGUUUUAUUUUGACGCAAUGUAGAAGUAUCAUCCCGGCUGCCAUGACAUGGUUGACACUUUCCUAUGUCGUGGGGGAAUUUUUCAUCACGAGAGGAGGCUACUAUUCUACAUACCACGACGUGACCACCACUUACUACGUCGUGGUCAUGCUAUUAUUCGCGAUAUGGAUUUUCCUCACUCGACGACACGACAAGUCAAUGUUCUUUUGUAUUUUCCGGCACAUUUAGAAGCAGCAGUUCCAGUUUCCAGUCUUCCAGCAAUUUUCAGAGCAACUUUUAGCAGCCCCAUUCGAUCUCGUCACUACUACCCCAGGGGAGUCUAUUCCUUUUUCUUCGUUUUUAUUAUUUUUAUGAGCUUAAUUAGUUUUAUGCAUACAAUGAGGGCAUUGUAUUAAAUAAGUGUGGGGUAGGGGUCGGAAAAGAAAAUUAAAAAUUACUAGAUUAGGAAAAUUUUAAAAAAUUUAUAAACUUGAAAUAAUAGUUUAAUUUAAGAAAAUCUAGUGAUAAUUUAAAAAUUUUCUAAUAUUGUAUGUGAUGAUCCAAUGAGAACCCAAAUGUUUACCUGAACCUACACAUGUUAUAGUGUAUUUGUGGCUUCCCAUUUCCUAGUGAAAAGUCCUGAGAUAUGAAAGGUAAUCUGGUAGUUUAUAUGGCAUAAUAUUUUUUGCAGCCUAAACCUGAAAUCUAUCCAGGAAAGCUUAUUUAGUCAUUGCACUUAGACUAAUACUCUAACCAAUAAGGGUUCAAGCUAAGCGCCCAUGCUUAAGCAUGUAGGUUUUGAGUGAAAAAAAAGUGAGUUACAUGUGAAAAAAAAGAGAGAAAUUACCAAAAAGUUGAAGAAUUUUGGAGCAAUUAAAGUGAGAAUUUGAAGAUCAAAAUUCCAAAAGUUCAAAAGUUGAAGAUACUAAAAAUCCAAAAGGUGGUGAAUUCAAAGAAAUCAAUAUGAAAUAUUCAAAGGAAUAGAAGAAUUCCAAGAACUCCAUUGUGGUAUCUUAAAGUUGUAAUUUCUAGAUUAUUUAUGCUUGGGUAGCUUUAAAAAAAUACCUUGAGGUUAAGAAAGAUUUCUGAUGAUUGAUUUGGAGGGUUGUAGAAAUGAGUGUCGUAUAAACUAAGGGGUGAAGGUUUGUAAGGAUUGUGAGUAUUUAGGAAUGAGAAGUUUCUUAGGAUUUAUAGACACAAAUACAUGCAUUGUGGUCUUGGGAUAAUGGAUGGGUUUGAAAUGGAUUAUUCUAUGCGAUAUUGGUGAAAUAAUAAAAGUAAGUUUGCUUGGGGGCAAGCAAAGGCUAAGUGUGGGGUAUUUUGAUAUGUGUGUUUUUAUAUAUAUUUAUGUGAAACAUAUCUUAAUAUUUUAGCCUUUAUUAUUAUUAUUUAGAACUAAAAUAUAUUUAAUAUGCUUUGAAAUAUUUAAUUACAGUAAAAAUGGGAGUUGGAAUGCAAAAGGAAGAGAAUGGAGCUGAAAAGAUGCAAAAAGGAUAUUGUUGGCAGAUUGACCCCUCUUCAGUGUUUCGGGUAUAUCGGAUGACUCACAAAUCCAAUUGACGAGAUUCAAAAUGUUCUGAAAACUAGACGAAAUUUCCUAUGACUUAUGUGAGAUGGACUUUUGGCUAAUUCGACACUUAUCUUAUCCAAAAUCGGCCUUGAAGAUGAAGCAUAAAAGCUGGACGGAAAUUCCCUCCAAGUUACUUAUUCCCCAAGCACCACUUUCCUUAUCUUUAUUUGCUUAAUCCCUAAGCCACAUUAGUUUCCUUAUUCCAAUCCAACUCUAAUAUUCCAUAUAAUUCCAUCUCCAUCAACUAUAAAUACCCCAUAUCAUUCCACCAUUUUCAUAAUCUAUGAUAUUCCACUUCGACUUGUGCAACAAGAAAACUUCAUAGUUGCCGUUUUGAGGGUCUAGGAGGCGGCCGGAAGGCCGUUAAGCUAACGGGAGCGGAGAUCGGAAGGAUUGGAGAGCGGAUACAUGUCGGUAAUCAUAUGGGUUGUUAACGUGACCAUGUUUAGCAUUCCAUUGUGUUACUAUUCUGUAUUUAGUUUCUGAUUUGGGUGUAAAAACCUUUUACUUUGNUUAUUUGUUGUUAUUUGUCAAGUAAAUUGAGUUGUAUGAACAUCUGCUUGAUUGCUUGUAUCUUAUGACUUUGAUGACCAUCAAGAUUAUAAGUCUAGGAACAACGAAUGUGAAACUAGGAUUAACUCGGAAAUAAGUAAGUUAAUGUGUGAGCCUUGUGUGAUAAACCAUCAACAAGAGGUUAAAUUGAAUUAGUAAUUUGAUUAACUAUUAUUACAAGUCUUGCUUGAUACGAACUGAACACUUGGAAGCAUGUUAGUUUAAUCAACUGGUCACUGUUUGAAUUGACUUGUUUGCUAAAGGAUUAAUAUUAGUGAACGUGAAUCUAAUCAUUUUAGGAAUUGGUGAACAUGAAUAAAUGAAUUUUUGUAUGUAAUUGUCUAUGCUUUUAAGGUGUAAUUUAUCUAAAUCAAAGUACCUGAAGAGAUUUGUUUCCCUGUUAGUUUAUCAAGAUUUGUUAAUUAAUUGUUCAUAUGAGAUUUAAUAAACCAUUUCUUUACUGCUUGUGUGUGUUUUGUAACCUAUAAUCAAAUAUUUUAAAUUAAUUCACGACCGCUCCCCUUGUAAUCGACACCCUUGCUUAUCAAAGCUAUACUAUAAUCGAUCAGGUUCACGGCCUGUAAGGUGUGGUUUAGAUGCGAUAAAUUAAAUAAUAGUUUAAUUUAAGAAAAUCUAGUGAUAAUUUAAAAUUUUGCUAAUAUUGUAUGUGAUGAUCCAAUGAGAACCCAAAUGCUUACCUGAGCCAACACAUGUUAUAGUGUAUUUGUGGCUUCCCAUUUCCUAGUGAAAAGUCAGGAGCUAUGAAAGGUAAU